UCUCUGGAACUCCUAUUUCCUCGGGGCAUUGGACCGUGUCUGCCCACCAAGCCCCACUGAAGGGUGCAGGGCCCCCGAGCGGGACUGGAGGCGGGCAGAGAAGGACCUGUGGGAGCAGCUGGCAGAAAGCAGGCAGCAGAGGGCCGAGCUGGCAAGCCGUCUUCGGGCAGUGCCGGAGGCCCUGUCGGAGCAAGCCCUGGUGCUGCAGAGGCGGGAGCACAAGCUGGGACUUGGCUGGUCCCUAAAGCAGAAGGUGGAGUGCUCCCUGGCCUGCCUGGAGCAGGAGAGGCACCAGAUGCAGGGAUCCCAGGGACAGGCUGAGUGGAGGAGGCCAGACCAGAACAUAGAAGACAGGAUCCUGCUGCUGCAGACAGAAGUGGAAAAGGCCUAGCGGCAUUUGGACCAAAUGACCCAACGGAGAUGCUGGUGCCAGGCCUGCAGAUCCAAGAGCAGAGCUGGGAUGGAGGCAGGGCCCAGGAGCUUCGGGACCCAGAGUCUCCAUGCCAGCAGCUGAGACCCCUGCCCAGGCUCAGGACACAGUCCGUCUGCAGGAGCAGUUGCUGAUACUCACUGA
rnacentral:lncRNA from 1 species